AGCGUUGCUCGGAAUCACUGGGCGUAAAGCGCACGUAGGCGGAUUGUUAAGUCAGGUGUGAAAUCCUGGAGCUCAACUCCAGAACUGCCUUUGAUACUGGCGAUCUCGAGUCCGGGAGAGGUGAGUGGAACUGCGAGUGUAGAGGUGAAAUUCGUAGAUAUUCGCAAGAACACCAGUGGCGAAGGCGGCUCACUGGCCCGGUACUGACGCUGAGGUGCGAAAGCGUGGGGAGCAAACAGG
rnacentral:rRNA from 1 species